UCAAUCUGCCUUCUGCUGGUAUUAAUGGCC
rnacentral:piRNA from 1 species